GGGAGGAGGGCACAGAGGAGGGAAGAGUUGGGAGGGGAGGCCCUCUCAUGUCUCUGACUGUGAACAGAUGUACGGGGACCCUCUAUGCACCGAACCCAAUACGUUCAUUCCCCGUAUGAUCGUCCUGGUUGGAACCCUCGGUUCUGCAUCAUCUCGG
rnacentral:sRNA from 1 species